GGGUUAAGUCCCGCAACGAGCGCAACCCUUGUCAUUAGUUGCUACGAAGGGCACUCUAAUGAGACUGCCGGUGACAAACCGGAGGAAGGUGGGGAUGACGUCAAGUCCUCAUGGCCCUUAUAGGUGGGGCUACACACGUCAUACAAUGGCUGGUACAGAGGGUUGCCAACCCGCGAGGGGGAGCUAAUCCCAUAAAACCAGUCGUAGUCCGGAUCGCAGUCUGCAACUCGACUGCGUGAAGUCGGAAUCGCUAGUAAUCGCGGAUCAGCAUGUCGCGGUGAAUACGUUCCCGGGUCUUGUACACACCGCCCGUCACACCAUGGGAGCGGGUUCUGCCAGAAGUAGUUAGCCUAACCGCAAGGAGGGCGAUUACCACGGCAGGGUUCGUGACUGGGGUGAAGUCGUAACAAGGUAGCCGUAUCGGAAGGUGCGGCUGGAUCACCUCCUUU
rnacentral:rRNA from 1 species